UUGACCUCAAAUCAGGUAGGACUACCCGCUGAACUUAAGCAUAUCAAUAAGCGGAGGAAAAGAAACUAACAAGGAUUCCCCUAGUAACUGCGAGUGAAGCGGGAAAAGCUCAAAUUUGAAAUCUGGCGGUUCCUUGGACUGUCCGAGUUGUAAUCUAGAGAAGUGUUACCUGUGCUGGACCGUGUACAAGUCUCCUGGAAUGGAGCAUCACAGAGGGUGAGAAUCCCGUCUUUGACACGGACUGCCUGUGCGAUAUGGUGCGCUCUCGAAGAGUCGAGUUGUUUGGGAAUGCAGCUCAGAAUGGGUGGUAAAUGCCAUCUAAAGCUAAAUAUUGGCGAGAGACCGAUAGCGAACCAGUACCGUGAGGGAAAGAUGAAAAGAACUUUGGAAAGAGAGUUAAACAGUACGUGAAAUUGCUGAAA
rnacentral:rRNA from 1 species